rnacentral:rRNA from 1 species
AUUGAACGCUGGCGGCAGGCUUAACACAUGCAAGUCGAGCGGAGAUGAGGUGCUUGCACCUUAUCUUAGCGGCGGACGGGUGAGCAAUGCUUAGGAAUCUGCCUAUUAGUGGGGGACAACAUUCCGAAAGGAAUGCUAAUACCGCAUACGUCCUACGGGAGAAAGCAGGGGAUCUUCGGACCUUGCGCUAAUAGAUGAGCCUAAGUCGGAUUAGCUAGUUGGUGGGGUAAAGGCCUACCAAGGCGACGAUCUGUAGCGGGUCUGAGAGGAUGAUCCGCCACACUGGGACUGAGACACGGCCCAGACUCCUACGGGAGGCAGCAGUGGGGAAUAUUGGACAAUGGGCGGAAGCCUGAUCCAGCCAUGCCGCGUGUGUGAAGAAGGCCUUUUGGUUGUAAAGCACUUUAAGCGAGGAGGAGGCUACCUGGAUUAAUACUCUAGGAUAGUGGACGUUACUCGCAGAAUAAGCACCGGCUAACUCUGUGCCAGCAGCCGCCGUAAGAC